CAAGCAACCUGUAAACAGAUGCAGCCUCUUGUGGCGACACAAGUUGAAAACUGGAUGAAUUCAGGGAAACCUAAGUCGAAAGAUAAGGCAAUCCUGAGCGAAGCUCACAGAGUGAGAACGUGCAACGACUACCUGAGCUUAUGCGGAUAAGCUUAAUAACAGGAAGUAGGUUAGUUUAGUCGCUAACUGAAACAGCGUCCGGCAUCUCAAGUAGAUGAUGAUAUAGUCUAUGCCACAUUAAAGUGUGGA
rnacentral:ncRNA from 1 species